GGGUGCUUAGCUCAGUUGGUAGAGCGGCGCCCUUACAAGGCGUAGGUCGGGAGUUCAAGCCUCUCAGCACCCA
rnacentral:tRNA from 1 species